GGUUAAGCGACUAAGCGUACACGGUGGAUGCCCUGGCAGUCAGAGGCGAUGAAGGACGUGCUAAUCUGCGAAAAGCGCCGGCGAGGUGAUAUGAACCUUUGACCCGGCGAUGUCCGAAUGGGGAAACCCAGUGUGAUUCGUCACACUAUCGUUAACUGAAUACAUAGGUUAACGAGGCGAACCGGGGGAACUGAAACAUCUAAGUACCCCGAGGAAAAGAAAUCAACCGAGAUUCCCCCAGUAGCGGCGAGCGAACGGGGAGCAGCCCAGAGUCUGAAUCAGCUUGUGUGUUAGUGGAAGCGUCUGGAAAGUCGCACGGUACAGGGUGACAGUCCCGUACACGAAAGCACACAGGUUGUGAACUCGAAGAGUAGGGCGGGACACGUGGUAUCCUGUCUGAAUAUGGGGGGACCAUCCUCCAAGGCUAAAUACUCCUGACUGACCGAUAGUGAACCAGUACCGUGAGGGAAAGGCGAAAAGAACCCCGGCGAGGGGAGUGAAAAAGAACCUGAAACCGUGUACGUACAAGCAGUGGGAGCACCUUCGUGGUGUGACUGCGUACCUUUUGUAUAAUGGGUCAGCGACUUAUAUUCUGUAGCAAGGUUAACCG
rnacentral:rRNA from 1 species